CAUCUCUGCAUCAAUCCCCAGGCAAAUACCACCUUUACAGUCUUCAACGUGCCACAGUGCUGCCAUGCCUUCCAUCAUUCACCUGCGUGAUGCCCCUCCCUCUCUCCUCUUCCCUACACUGUCUGUGAUCACAUCUUCCUCUCUCACGUUUUCAUCUUCCAAAUCCACUGACCAGUAGAUGCCUGAAGCUUAUUAUGGUACCCACACACACACACACAGACACUCUCCCCCCCCUCUCUU
rnacentral:lncRNA from 1 species